rnacentral:rRNA from 1 species
UAAGCAUAUAAUUAAGCGGAGGAAAAGAAACUAACUAGGAUUCCCUCAGUAACGGCGAGUGAAGCGGGACUAGCUCAGGAUGUGAAUCUGCGCUUUUUGGCGCCGAAUUGUGGUCUAUAGACUUUGACGUUAUCUGCCGGGCCAAGUUCCUUGGAAAAGGACAGCUGAGAGGGUGACACUCCCGUCCGCCUGGUAGAAUGAGUCUUUGUCAACGAGUCGAGUUGUUUGGGAUUGCAGCUCUAAUUUGGUGGUAAAUUCCAUCUAAAGCUAAAUAUUGGUGGGAGACCGAUAGCGUACAAGUACCGUGAGGGAAAGAUGCAAAGAACUUUGAAAAGAGAGUUAAAGAGUACCUGAAAUUGCUGAAACGGAAGCGAAGGAAACCAGUGUUUGUUGGUUCAUAUUUCCCUUGCCACUUGUGGUGUGGGCGCUGUGAGCUUGCGUGGGUUUGCUUUGGUUGAUCCCUUUGGAAGAGCGCAGUCAGAGUUGAUGUCUGUUGCUAGCACUGGUUUGACUAAAGCAGACG